UACGUAGGGUGCGAGCGUUAAUCGGAAUUACUGGGCGUAAAGGGUGCGCAGGCGGACUGGUAAGUCAGGGGUGAAAUUCUACGGCUCAACUGUAGGCGUGCCUUUGAUACUGCCGGACUAGAGUUAAGUUGGAGUGGGCGGAAUGUGUUGUGUAGCGGUGAAAUGCUUAGAUAUAACACAGAACACCGAUCGCGAAGGCAGCUCACUAAACUUAGACUGACGCUCAUGCACGAAAGCGUGGGGAUCAAACAGGAUUAGAUACCCUGGUAGUUCACGCUGUAAACGAUGAUCACUCGCUGUUGGCGAUAUACAGUCAGUGGCUAAGCGAAAGUGAUAAGUGAUCCACCUGGGGAGUACGACCGCAAGGUUGAA
rnacentral:rRNA from 1 species